rnacentral:tRNA from 1 species
GCCUUCGUGGUGUAGUGGUCAGGACGCUCGGCGUUUAUAAGUUAUCAAGUCGAGAGGUCCGGGGUUCGAAUCCCAGCGAGGGUG